GACAGAGGCCUCAAGCGUUAGGCGGAAUCACUGGGCUUAAAGCGUGUGUAGGCGGUUGGUUAAGUCAGAUGUGAAAGCCCCGGGCUCAACCUGGGAACGGCAUUUGAUACUGGCUGACUCGAAUGUGGUAGAGGGAGGCGGAAUUCCCGGUGUAGCGGUGAAAUGCGUAGAGAUCGGGAAGAACACCAAUGGCGAAGGCAGCCUCCUGGGCCAACAUUGACGCUGAGACGCGAAAGCGUGGGGAGCAAACAGG
rnacentral:rRNA from 1 species